GGCUAAAAGAGCACUAGCCUGUUGAAGAAUUCAAUGAUUGUUGGUAAUAGAAAUGACCACCCUAAGUAUCAGCUACAAGUAAUCGAUUAUCAUCUCAUUUACUCUCUUGCUACAACUUACUUACAUGUUAGAGAAUGCCUAUCUUUUUUCUUUCCUAAGGUUUAUAACAUCAUGGUACUGCAUGUUGUUAGCUUGUUCAGCCCGGAUGGCUGCCUUGCUGAUUCAGUUGGACACUGUACCCUAGUUUUCAUCUGGCUUUCCUUUUGUCCUAGUCAACUUGCUGGCUGGAAAGUGCAACCUUGCCAUGAGUGGUCGUGGUGCUCGUAACUUCUUGUCAAAACCCCUCACACAAACAAAUCCUCUCCAAA
rnacentral:misc_RNA from 1 species